CCCUUAGAUGUUCUGGGCCGCACGCGCGCUACACUGACGAAUGCAACGAGCUUAUAACCUUGGCCGAAGGGUCUGGGUAAUCUCCAAAUUUCGUCGUGAUGGGGAUAGAUUAUUGCAAUUAUUAAUCUUCAACGAGGAAUGCCUAGUAAGCGCAAGUCAUCAGCUUGCGUUGAUUACGUCCCUGCCCUUUGUACACACCGCCCGUCGCUCCUACCGAUUGAAUGGUCCGGUGAAGCGUUCGGACCGCUUCCUUUGGACGGGCAACCGUCUGUUGGUCGUGGGAAGUUCGUUAAACCUUAUCAUUUAGAGGAAGGAGAAGUCGUAACA
rnacentral:rRNA from 1 species